UACGUAGGGUCCGAGCGUUGUCCGGAAUUAUUGGGCGUAAAGAGCUCGUAGGCGGCGUGUCACGUCUGCUGUGAAAGACCGGGGCUCAACUUCGGUUUUGCAGUGGAUACGGGCAUGCUAGAGGUAGGUAGGGGAGACUGGAAUUCCUGGUGUAGCGGUGGAAUGCACAGAUAUCAGGAGGAACACCGGUGGCGAAGGCGGGUCUCUGGGCCUUACCUGACGCUGAGGAGCGAAAGCAUGGGUAGCGAACAGG
rnacentral:misc_RNA from 1 species